rnacentral:tRNA from 1 species
GAAAUAUGUAAUCUCAUAAAUAAGCUUCUAACUUAUUUUAAAGCGAUGAAAUUCGUUUAUAUUUCU